AAGGGGAUGAACAUGGAGGUCAGGAUUACAGGGACGGACUCGGAGUGACAGUGUCAGCCCCAAAUAAGGAUCUGUAUUCCACACACCGACUGCUCUUUGUACUGUGUUGCUCUGGAUAUUCCAACAGCGCUCCAACUUAAGAAUGACCAGUCAGCUCCAGAGUUCGCUGGUGUACAAACUUAUUAUUUACGGUAGCACCCUACGUUGCACACUUGUGGAGAGGUUCUCCUCAAAGGCAUUGCAGCUUGUUGUAUACAUAUAAGGUCACGGAGGCAUUCAGAGAUGAAAAUUCCUUCAAGAGGUCCUCCCCACCCUGGGCCCAAGCCUACUCUCCAAAAAACCCGCCCUUGAUCCAACCCAACCAAAAAAACUGCAGAUCCAUCUCAAAACUACCAUUCAUCUCCAAAAUUCUUAAAAAAAUCGUUUUGCAGCAGCUACUCGAGAGCUGCAAUCAGAGCAUUGAUUCACGCUGCUGCUGCUGGAGAGCAAACCGAGGAACAGGAGGAAG